rnacentral:rRNA from 1 species
AUGAACGCUGGCGGCGUGCCUAAUACAUGCCAGUCGAGCGAACGGACGAGAAGCUUGCUUCUCUGAUGUUAGCGGCGGACGGGUGAGUAACACGUGGAUAACCUACCUAUAAGACUGGGAUAACUUCGGGAAACCGGAGCUAAUACCGGAUGAUAUUUUGAACCGCAUGGUUCAAAAGUGAAAGACGGUCUUGCUGUCACUUAUAGAUGGAUCCGCGCUGCAUUAGCUAGUUGGUAAGGUAACGGCUUACCAAGGCAACGAUGCAUAGCCGACCUGAGAGGGUGAUCGGCCACACUGGAACUGAGACACGGUCCAGACUCCUACGGGAGGCAGCAGUAGGGAAUCGUCCGCAAUGGGCGAAAGCCUGACGGAGCAACGCCGCGUGAGUGAUGAAGGUCUUCGGAUCGUAAAACUCUGUUAUUAGGGAAGAACAUAUGUGUAAGUAACUGUGAACAUCUUGACGGUACCUAAUCAGAAAGCCACGGCUAACUACGUG